AGAACUUAAAUGUAUUCCCGCAUUAUACUGGUGGGCGACCUAGAACUGAAUGUAUUUCCCGCAUUAUACUGGUGGGCGACCUAGAACUUAAAUGUAUUCCCGCAUUAUACUGGUGGGCGACCUAGAACUUAAAUGUGUUCCCGCAUUGUACUGUGGGCGACCUAGAACUUAAAUGUAUUCCCGCAUUAUACUGGUGGGCGACCUAGAACUUAAAAGUAUUCCCGCAUUAUACUGGUGGGCGACCUAGAACUUAAAUGUAUUGAAAUUGUUUCCCCGUUCUUCCGAGAAAAUUUUCGACAAUCGGCAGAAAAUUUUCUGCCCCGGUUUUUGGUAACUUCCAUGGCAUUGCAUCUUGUUGCCGUCAUCAAUUCUUUGCUCUCCUGCAACAGACAAAAGGAUUUAGUCAGUUUUAAUCGUGGUGGUAGAGGGUGCCUUUCUGGCGAGCAAUUUUUCUCUCUUCCCCUUUUCUUGCUCUUUGUCCCCAUAAUUGGUUGGCGGGCAAAGUUGCCUGUUGGGGGUCUCUAGCCUGCUGGGGAUUGGUUUUCAAUUUAUCCCCUUUUCUGCUUUCUCUUUAAACACAUGAUGUGGGAGUCUGCUUCUAACUCCCGAAACCACUCCCUUUUGGAGCUUACUUCUUCCAAAAUUUCCGGGCACAAUCUCUGCAUUGCCUGGGACCGGCCUUUAAGACUGUUUGUAUUAUCCUGCAUUGGAUGAAUUCCCCUUUGGUUUCUGGUAAUAAGCUUUGAAAAAUCCUUUUAAGACACAUUUUAGGAAAAGAAAUAAAGAUAUGGAAAAAAGAAAAACUUUCUGAACCAAUAUUUUGUGGGAGGAGACAAUCCAAAGAACUUAUCUGGAGGACACAACUGGUCCCCGUGAUCAUGACGUGCACCAUAGAUUCCCGACCCAGUCUAUUUGUAUCAAUCGAUUUGUCCGACGGUCUGACUUGCUGGGGAUGAUAAAUGGAUGUUUAUCUUGUUGCGAAUGUGGUAGCUUUUGCUGCUCUAUCUUGUCGCCUCAUAGUGCCCUUCGAGGGGUUUUCACUAAUGAGACUCUCUCUUUUCUUUCAUCUCCCGGCGCCUUAUGGUGCCUGUGAAGGUUUUCACCAAUAAGACUCUCUCAUUUCAUAUCCCUUAUCUUACAUCGCCUCUCGGUGCCUGUGAAGGUUUUCACCGAUAAGACUCUCUCAUUUUAUUUCUUUCAAGGAAUCGGGGCGUUGUAGAUACGACCCUCUCUUCUGGAGAUUCUUUUGACUAUCAACUCAUUCCCAGUCUUACGAUCCUCUUCUUUGCUGGGGAUCAGUGUAUUAUUCUCGGCCUUAUUUGCCGGAUUUGGCAUCUCUCGAACAUUGAUCGGGAGGUCUUUUGGAUGUUGACGUUGGUUUUGGUGUGGGAUUGAAGAAAUGCUACAAAAAUGAAAACAAUUUGAAGGGUGAUGUGCUACAACUUUUGGAAUCUAACCUUUGUUGGAACUUAAAACAUAACCUCUGCCCCAGUUUUCUUGCUUGGGGAAUUUAUUUUUUACGCUUAUGUUGAGUUACGUGUGU
rnacentral:lncRNA from 1 species